rnacentral:ncRNA from 1 species
ACAACAAUAAUAAAAGCACGCAGCACACCAAUAAAAACAAUACGUACCGGCUCUGACAUAACAAGAACAACACGGACAGAGACGUAGCUAACAGAUUUUUUUGAAGUGGAUAGCUUUUCUGAACCACUUUGUCAACGCCAACUAAAAAGUGACCCCCUUCCGUGCUAAA